rnacentral:rRNA from 1 species
UACGGGGGGGGCAAGCGUUGUUCGGAAUUACUGGGCGUAAAGGGCUCGUAGGCGGCCAACUAAGUCAGACGUGAAAUCCCUCGGCUUAACCGGGGAACUGCGUCUGAUACUGGAUGGCUUGAGUUCGGGAGAGGGAUGCGGAAUUCCAGGUGUAGCGGUGAAAUGCGUAGAUAUCUGGAGGAACACCGGUGGCGAAGGCGGCAUCCUGGACCGACACUGACGCUGAGGAGCGAAAGCUAGGGUAGCAAACGGG